rnacentral:rRNA from 1 species
AGUCGAGCGAGGAGAGUUCUUCGGAACAAACCUAGCGGCGGACGGGUGAGUAACACGUGGGCAACCUGCCUCAAAGAGGGGAAUAGCCUCCCGAAAGGGAGAUUAAUACCGCAUAAAGUUAUUUUUUCGCAUGAAGAGAUAACCAAAGGAGCAAUCCGCUUUGAGAUGGGCCCGCGGCGCAUUAGCUAGUUGGUGAGGUAACGGCUCACCAAGGCGACGAUGCGUAGCCGACCUGAGAGGGUGAUCGGCCACAUUGGAACUGAGACACGGCCCAGACUCCUACGGGAGGCAGCAGUGGGGAAUAUUGCGCAAUGGGGGAAACCCUGACGCAGCAACGCCGCGUGAGCGAUGAAGGUCUUCGGAUUGUAAAGCUCUGUCUUUUGGGACGAUAAUGACGGUACCAAAGGAGGAAG